GCUAGGUAUGGUGGCACAUGCCUGUAGUUCCGGCUACUUGGAAGGCUGAUGCUGGAGGAUCACUUGAGCCCAGGAGUUCAAAGCUGCAGUGAGCUAGGAUCACAAGUGCCCAUGGCACUUUAGCCUGGGCAAUAGAGUGAGAUCCCAUCUCUU
ensembl:misc_RNA Metazoa_SRP Metazoan signal recognition particle RNA